GACGUAGGGCGCGAGCGUUGUCCGGAUUUAUUGGGCGUAAAGAGCUCGUAGGCGGCUUGUUGCGUCGGCUGUGAAAACCCAUGGCUCAACCGUGGGCUUGCAGCCGAUACGGGCAGGCUAGAGUUCGGUAGGGGAGACUGGAAUUCCUGGUGUAGCGGUGAAAUGCGCAGAUAUCAGGAGGAACACCAAUGGCGAAGGCAGCUCGCUGGGACGUGACUGACGCUGAGACGCGAAAGCGUGGGGAGCAAACAGG
rnacentral:rRNA from 1 species